rnacentral:rRNA from 1 species
CAGUCGCCACGGGAACACGUAGGGGGCUAGCGUUGCUCGGAAUUACUGGGCGUAAAGGGCGCGUAGGCGGACAGUUCAGUCGGGGGUGAAAGCCCGGGGCUCAACCUCGGAAUUGCCUUCGAUACUGGCUGUCUUGAGUAUGAGAGAGGUGUGUGGAACUCCGAGUGUAGAGGUGAAAUUCGUAGAUAUUCGGAAGAACACCAGUGGCGAAGGCGACACACUGGCUCAUUACUGACGCUGAGGCGCGAAAGCGUGGGGAGCAAACAGGAUUAGAUACCCGCGUAGUCCCUGUCUCUUAUAU